rnacentral:lncRNA from 1 species
AUAACUUUCUCAGUUUAGCCAUUUUUUAAGGUCAGGUCAGCAAGCAACAAAGUCUUAAAGUUUUCUUUCAUCUGGUAAUGUGUUAAUUCUGCCUUCAUUUUUGAAGGAUAGUUUUGGCAGAUACUCAGUUUGCAGUUAAGUCUUCUUUUACAAAUUGGAAGAAAAAUGUUGUGCCACCUCCUUGUGAUGAACUCAAUAAUUUCUUGAGAAAUCUGUUAUUUGAAUUGGUCACUCCCUAGGGGUAAUGAGUCAUUUCUCUGGGGUUGCUUUUAAGUUUUUUUCUUUAGAUUUCAGAAUUUUAAUGAUGUUUUAAUGUGGAUUUCUUAGGAUUUAUUUUAUUUGGUGUUCAUUUGGCUUCUUGAAUCUAUUUUUUUAGUUCUGUAACUUCCCCCUUGAACUUUGGUGUAACUUCUGUGUUGUUUUUUUUUUUUUUUAAUUCUUGAGAUCUUGUAACUUUUUUCAUUUGUUUCAAGAGAACUUGUGAUUGCUUGAGGCAUUUCUUUAAUGGCUGCUUUAAUAUCCCUGUCAGUUCCAAUAUCCUACUCAUCUCACUGUUGGUAUCGAUUGUCUUUUCUCAUUUAAGUUUUGAUAUCCUGGUUCUUGGUAUGAUUAGUAAUUUUCUAUUGCAUUCUGCACCUUUAGCUGUUAAGACUCUGGAUCAUACUUAAAACUGACUUUAGCAGGCAGUCACCCUGUUUUUAGGUUAGUUCCCAGAUUGCAACCUAUAUUUUGCAGGUGGUUCUUAACCCAAUGACAGUGUAGCUUUCAGAGCUCUUGCAAUGCUAUUUAGGUUUACUUGGCUUAUUUGGUACCAUUGUUCUUUCCACCUUUUCAUGCUGGGAUUGGGAGCGUGGAAGGGGUUUCCCUAAAACAGGCUGCUUGGUGUCUCUAGAUAGGGGAAAGGAUGCUCUGGCUCAAAAGGGGGAGCAAAGGUUUCGCAGGUGGAGCUGCUAAUAUUCCAGUGCCUCCUGGCAACCUGUUGUCUGCGAGAAGGGAGAUGGGUCUCUCCUUGGGCUGGGCAGUGUAGCAGGGAUGGCCUUCCUGGUGUGACCCAUCUGCUAAGUGUUUUUCAUCUAGAUAGAAAGUCUCAGGUCUCUGGGGAUAAAGAACAGUUCCUAGAACAGGUGUGUCUGUGGCAGGACCCUCCCAGUCUGUGUUGGGUCUGGUGAGGGUGGGGAGUCUCAGCCCUGUGAGACUAAAAAGCACUUCCCUUAAUCAUUCCCACCUGCUGGUGCUGCUGGACUCACAGUGUUGUCAGCAGGACUUUUGUUCCAUCUGGGGAGGAAUGGACCUACCUGGGCUGUCUUUUGCUAGUUUGGGAGCCAGAAAAUGCUGGGCCACUUUGCACCUUGUGAUUCUUACACCUCCCCCCCCCCCCCAACCCCAUAGAACAUUCUCCAGGAGAUACAGCUAAUUCCCUUCUCCUGGAGUAUGAACUGGACCCACUGAUUACUUCUAACGAAUAGGGUAUGGAAAGAGUGAAAAUGGGAAGUUUACAGUGGAAAGUCCUGGCAGAUACCAGUUUUACCAAGUGAUCAAGGUUACAUUACCAUGAAUAAAUCUGGUUAGUAUGUACCAUUUGACAAUAUAGUAAGGAUACUUCACUUCUGUGGUAUUCUACAAAGUUGGUAAUGCAAAUCUAAUAAUGAGAAAAUAGAUAAUCCCAAAUUAUGAGGUUCUAUAAAAUACUUGAGCUCUCUGUCAAGGUUAUAGAUGACAAAGACUGACAGAGGAACUGUUACAGAUUGGAGGAGACUAAAGACACAUGAGGACAAAUGCAAUAUAGGAUCCUAGCCUGGAUCCUAGAUCACAAAAAGGACAAUUAUGGAAAAUCUGAACAGUUCCUAAUAGUGUCCUAAAGUUAAUGUCUUAGCUCUGAUAACACUAUGAUAAGAUAUUAAUAUUAGGAGAAAAAAUGUAGUUCCCAGUCGGCCCUUGACAUUCUCCCGUAAGCAGCAGACUACUAACCUGUAUACUUACUACUGUCCUGGACAUGGUAUUUUCCCCCAGUUUCUAAGUCAUGAGUGUAUGGAAUUAGUUUGGUGCUUAAACUGCCCCAGACUUGGACAGUGGGUAGGAAACCCUUCAGACCGGCUCCUGUGGCCCCAGUGUCAUGUUCCAUCAUGUUUCUCAACACUUCCUCACUUUCUGGUAUUACCAGACAUUCAGGAUCCCCUCAUACCUACCCUGCCUUAACCUUGAAGCUGCCAUUAACCCAGGAAGCCAGGAUUUCCACAAAAGAAAACAGUGCUAGACUCAGAUCUGCACACUGGAUGUGUGGAUGCCCAUGGGGCCGCCCUUGCUUCUUGGUCUUGUAGCAGAGGUUAGAAAAUACACACAAAUACAUCUGCCCAUACAGGUCCACGCACACACGUGAGCACAUAUGCACUUAGGAAUCUCAUGUUCACAUACGUACUUCAUCACAAUGGCUCACAGGAUUAUUUUCUUGCUUUGCCCCAAUGUAUAUUUGUAUGACUUUGCUUCCUUGGUGAGAACCCUGUCUCACUACAGCAUAGCCCCAUGUAUGCCUGUGCUCAUUCCUCUGAUGCAGGAGAUUGCUCCAGAACUGCUUCACCAUCAUGCUACAGAAAAUACACUGAAGGGUGAGGGAUGUUUGUUUUUUGUCAUCCUAAGAAAACUAGGAUAGUAAACCCUGCCCAAAUCCUCUGUGCAUUAUUCCCCUUCUUACACGAAAGGCAACAAACUAUAUAUGGUUUGGCACUUUGCUCUUUUUACUUAAAACAUUUCUUAAAAAUAAUUCCAUGACAUUUCGUUGGUAUCUUCAUUUUUUUUUCUCGCAUUUUACUCCAUCGUAUGUACCUGUUUAUUCAAUUUCCUGUGCUUAGUCAAGCAGUUUUCAGAAUUUGGAACUAGAAAGCAUGCUAUAAAAAUAACUAUGCAUGUGUGUAUUCAUUCAUACACUUGUCAGUGACUCUCCAGGACACAUUUUCAGAAAUGUGCUUGUUGUGGCAAUGGGCAGGUGUACAUAUAGUCUUGUUACCCUAAAUAUUGCCAGGUUCACCUAUAUAAGGCUUAUGCCAUUUUGCAUUCCUGCCAACAGUGUAUGAAAAUGCAUUUUCCUGCAGCCCUACCAGGCAGAGUACUGUCCAGCUUUUGAGUUUUCAUCAAGCUGAGUGAAAUAAUUUGAGUGUAGUUGUAGUUUGCAUUUAUCUUAUCAUGAGUGAAGCUCAGCAGCUUCUCAAUAUACCUCUUUUGGUAAACUGAUCAGGUCUUUUGUCCACUUUCUUUGGCAUUUCUGGUCUUUUGAUUUUUUGAAAGUCUGUUAAAUGACCUUUUAUUUGUGAAAUACGUUGACAUUUGUUUUUUGAUAUAUAUAUUUUUUGCCAUGUAAAAUUUUGGUUAUUUUAUUUGGGGGGUAUUAAUUUUUUAUUGCCUCAGGGCCCGGGGAAAAUGACUGUGGGGACCAUUCUGUGCCCCAGGCAAAGGGACAAGGCCAGCCCUGGGCUGGGCACAAAGCAAGCUAAAGGGACAGUACCUUGGGCUGGGUGGAAAGACAGGUGCUCUAGCUCCUUAGCCCCUGUCUGGUGGACUAGGGAGGGUUGUGGAAGAAAGGCCCGGAGUCCUC